rnacentral:rRNA from 1 species
UACGUAGGGUGCGAGCGUUAAUCGGAAUUACUGGGCGUAAAGCGUGCGCAGGCGGCUUCUUAAGCCAGAUGUGAAAUCCCCGGGCUCAACCUGGGAACUGCAUUUGGGACUGGGAGGCUUGAGUGUGGCAGAGGGGGGUAGAAUUCCCGGUGUAGCAGUGAAAUGCGUAGAUAUCGGGAGGAAUACCGAUGGCGAAGGCAGCCCCCUGGGCUAACACUGACGCUCAUGCACGAAAGCGUGGGGAGCAAACAGG